rnacentral:rRNA from 1 species
UGAGGAAUAUUGGUCAAUGGGCGAGAGCCUGAACCAGCCAAGUCGCGUGAGGGAAGACGGUCCUAUGGAUUGUAAACCUCUUUUGCCGGGGAGCAAAGAGCGGCACGUGUGCCGCGCCGAGAGUACCCGGAGAAAAAGCAUCGGCUAACUCCGUGCCAGCAGCCGCGUAAUAUGUGACU